AUGGCUUCACACCAGUUUGUCGAGAGGCCUGAAUCACCUCUCUUAUGUCGUUUAAUUUUUGAUAAACGACGUGUUUUCUGUAUUACUCUCCCCGCUCCUGCUUUCUUUGAUUCACAGACAAAAAGAAGAUAUGUUAUUACCAGAGAGGAGGCAGAAGAGUACGAGAGGAGAGCGGAGGCAGCUCGUCUCCACGCUGCAGCUCAGCAGGCGAUAACCGCUACACAUCAGUAUGAUCCCAACUAUUCUUCCUCAUCACAGUACGACCCCAACAACUAUUAUUAUGGAUAUCCGCCAGGCCAGCCGUGGCCAUAG
rnacentral:rRNA from 1 species